CAGCAACGCUGAGGGAACAGCACAAUAGCUAGGAGAGAUUCAUGCCAACCCACCCUUAACCCAUUAAGCCCCUUUUUCUUUCCUGGGAAAAAGCAUGCCCCGUGCCCACCCUUAGCAGAGCGCUGAGGUUGGUGAGGCAGCUCCCGCCAAGGCCAAAGGAUGGCACGCCAAGCUUGGGGCACUCAAUCCAUUCCCAACAGCACGGGGACAGGUCCUGUGUUGGCCCCUCAAUGUGCAGGAGUGAGACCUUUUCCACUGGGAGAACUGGGAUGGUGAGGCUUUGAUUUGGGUUUGCUGCUCUUGGUCUCAUACUGGGAAUUGCUGCUGAGCCCAUGCGCUCCAUGGCAGCCAUGUGUCCUUACCGCCUCUGUUGGCUGGGCUUGGGCAAACACCUGCACUGAUAUUUCUGUCAAGAUGGAAACCCGAAUACGGAAUGAUGAUCAGUUAAAAAAAGGGUUUACUCCUCCGUCCUGUUUUGAUUUUAAUUACAAAAGGUUAGCAUUUUUUGUACAAUCUAAACAGAAAUGAGACAGGAAAAGGUCAAAACACAAGGGGCCUGGAACAUCUCUAAUCCCAUAAUGGAGAGCAAUACGAGGCUCUAAUAUUUGAACAAUCAACGUAGACUUUUGUUAUGAAGACCAACACGCGAUGGAAGAAGGAUUCUCCAAUCAAGGGCGAUGGCUGCUGCUCCUCGUGGCCUCCCUGUGCUGCUUUUUGCUGGGCACACGGAGCUGCUCCGACCAGAGGAGAGCAGAGGAGGGAAGGAAGAGCUUUGCCAUGCACCGGCAGCAGCAGGCAUGGGUGUGCAGCACUGCAGAAACCUCAUCCCAAGCAGCACUCCGCUGGCAUCGUUAGGAGCAGGGCACUGCCAUCAGCACUGCUGCCUCCAGCUGCUGAGCUCUGCUCCUCAGGAAAACCAGGUGGAGGAAAGAAAUUGCAGCCCCAAAGGGGAGGAGGAUGUUCAGCAGCUCUCCCUGCAGCUCUCUGUGCAUGCUCUCCGUGCAGGUUGUCCAUGCAGGCUCUGCAUGCAUGCUCUCUGUGCAGGCUCUCUGUGCAUGCUGUCCAUGCAGUCUGCCCAUGCAGCACACUCUCCUGCCUCCCCUCCAGGCCACUGUGGUUCACAG
rnacentral:lncRNA from 1 species